UUCCAGACUCCUACGGGAGGCAGCAGUGGGGAAUAUUGCACAAUGGGGGAAACCCUGAUGCAGCGACGCCGCGUGAGCGAUGAAGUAUUUCGGUAUGUAAAGCUCUAUCAGCAGGGAAGAAGAUGACGGUACCUGACUAAGAAGCCCCGGCUAACUACGUGCCAGCAGCCGCGGUAAUACGUAGGGGGCAAGCGUUAUCCGGAUUUACUGGGUGUAAAGGGAGCGUAGACGGCGAUGCAAGCCAGAUGUGAAAGCCCGGGGCUCAACCCCGGGACUGCAUUUGGAACUGUGUGGCUGGAGUGUCGGAGAGGCAGGCGGAAUUCCUAGUGUAGCGGUGAAAUGCGUAGAUAUUAGGAGGAACACCAGUGGCGAAGGCGGCUUACUGGACGGUAACUGACGUUGAGGCUCGAAAGCGUGGGGAGCAAACAGGAUUAGAUACCCUGGUAUAA
rnacentral:rRNA from 1 species